CUCGACAAUGACUAGUGUUCAUUAGCCUGAAUAGUGAAGGAAUGCGGGUCAUUAAACCCCAAUUUCAUUUCAUAAAUCUCUCGGCUCAAUAAUGAGCUACUCGGGUUGGUUAGAUCCACGCCUUAAUGCAUAUACAACCAAUAGAGAAAUAGGUCAAAUAUGGCGACAAUGAUCAACUUGCUCUUCUUCUACUAAAUUAAAGAUUCGUGUGGAGAUUCUGUCGAUAUUAUCAUAUAUUUAUAUCUGCUCUUUCUUAAAAUGGAGACGCCAUGAAGCUAUAUCAGUUGUAAAAAUUCUCCAUGUGUUGAGAGGUCUACGUCCUUUACGUGCCAUAAACAGAGCUAAAGGUCUAAAGGAUGAAGAACAUCUUUUAACAGAAGAAAAUCCUUUAAUUCACGAGUUAAUAGCUAAUAUAUAUAGUUUCCUGUCGACUAUACUUGUAGAACAGAAAUUUACUGAGUGAUAAACUGGAGAAGAUCUGUGAAGAUUGAAGGCCGUCAGAGCUGCUGUAUUCGAACAUAAACCGUCAUUAAAAGUUGGUUGUGAUUAUUUGAUACAUGAUUGUGUCAAGAGAUAUCCACUAGAAAACUGUCCACUGUGUAGCUGAAGAUCCUGAGAAUCAACUGAAAGGUUGUAAAAAUCAAAUAGACAAAGAGUUUAUUGUGGUCAUCUGUUUCAUAAUGGUUGUUUAGAUACGUUCAUGAAAACACCUCCAUUUAUAGGAGGUAAAAAAUGUCCUUCAUGUGAUAAACGAAUUUAUCAUGUAAAAUGGAAAGUGUCAGUUGAAGUAAUGGAGAAUUGAUGGGCACAAAGAGAACUAGAAGAAGUUGUAGAUUUCUUGAAAUAAUUUAAAAUAUACGUCUACUUUUGUUGAGAUAAAAAAUACCAAAUAUGUAUAUUCUACAAUCUCAGCUUCAAAUUUACAAUUUACUUACAAAAAUAUUUAUUUACAUUGUAUUCAAUGUCUCUAAUAUAUGAAAUAUUGUAAAAAAUUGAAUCACUGGGGGCCGUGUCAGGCCCCCAAAUAUUCUGUUGAGUAUAUACAAAGAUAUGAUGAAUCAAAAAUUGGUCAAUAUUCAGAAUCCUCUACAGAUGAUAUAAAUGGGAUAUGAUCAAAAGUCAAGGCCACCUGUAAUCUUAGGUAAAAUCUUCUGAUUACUCUGUGUUUAAUCUGACUUGGGAGAUUUUCUAACAUUAAUUUUACUUUCUUAAAGAUGUAUCAUAUUGUAAUAUAUAGAAUUCGGUCUUUUAUAUAGGGCUAUUAUUGUUCAAUGUACACUUAUUAUAAAUUAUAUCAUUGCAUACUUCUUUUCCAAAAUGUUCAAUCUUGCAUUAAAAUGGUCCUUAGUUACGAACAUAUUUAUAUGUCACAACGUAGACGUCCAUCUUGUGUCAGAUUGUUACAUAUAUUUCUAUUUGUUUAAUGAUCAUUGUCAACACUAGUAUUUUAUCUUGGUUGUUAUAAUAAUUAUGUUUUAUGACCAGGGUUGACGUAGUUCAACUGGAUUAUAUUGUUACCUAUUACGUCUUGAAUAAUUAAACAUGGUAUGAUCACAUUUGAUCAAAUUACUCGGUUCAAUAGUUAUUGUCCAUUUUGUCUGUUUAUAAUCAAUCUUUUUGUUGUACAUCUCAAAUUAUUCCUGGUCAAAUUUAAGUAAAACGGACAAGUUCGUUUUAAUAUUUAAGUAGGCUAUUUUUCAAAGAAGUGGCGACAUUCAGAAAAGGGACAAUUAUUCAUUGGUUGAUAACGUCACGUGACAGUCUAAUUUUCCUAUAUAAAGGGUGCUAGAAUGUCGGAAGAGGAGAUAACGGUUCGUUAUAUCCAAAGCUAACCAAGAGAUAAAACCGAUACUUUAUAACAAUUACCGUAUAAUCACAACCUAUUAACUAAUUAGAAAGGUGAGAAUAGUGGCCUUGAUGGAACUUGGUCGUACAUGUUAAUGUUACAAAUGUCACCAUAAGUAAGUCGGCAGAAUAUGCCUCCAUUAUCACCGGGUUAACCAAUGUGCGACGUCAAGGACGUUAAGGGUUUGUGUUGUGAACGUUAUCUCCCACCACGCCGGACACCCAUAUUAUUAUAGAAUGAUUUACUAACUGUAUUUUAUUGUUGUUCAUGUCAUGACAUAACCUUGAAAUAAAGGAACGGGCAUAUUGAACAUA